rnacentral:rRNA from 1 species
CUAACCUACGGGAGGCAGCAGUGGGGAAUAUUGCACAAUGGGGGAAACCCUGAUGCCGCAACGCCGCGUGAAGGAAGACGGUUUUCGGAUUGUAAAAUUCUUUUCUUAGUGAAGAAGCAAGUGACGGUAGCUAAGGAAUAAGCAUCGGCUAACUACGUGCCAGCAGCCGCGGUGAUACGUAGGAUGCGAGCGUUAUCCGGAAUUAUUGGGUGUAAAGGGAGCGCAGGCGGGACUGCA